ensembl:lncRNA
ACUGAACUGAACUGGAUUAGGGGUUGUAAAUGCAUAGUUCACUACACUAAAUGUUUCAACCUCUUCUCUUCUCCUUCAAGCUAACCGGUGUCUCCAUUUCUCUCUUCCUCCCUCCAGGUGCAUUCUUCCUCUACUCAGGCCUGAGUGUUCUGGGGCUGCUGUUUGUGAUGGGCUGUCUGCCAGAGACCCAGGGCCGCAGGCUGGAGGAGAUGGAGGCCCUGUUCUCCGGAAACCUCUGCUCCUGCAGUGCGUCUGACGGGGAUGGGGACGGAUCCAGAAACAUCCUGUACAACAGGGUAAAAGGGAGCGACAUCCUCUCAGACAAUGAUGCCUCGGACAUGGAGUAGACGUGGCGCGUCAAAGAACCUCUCUCUCUCUCUCUCACACCUUCAUGUCUUUUGAUUGGUGGAUUUACAGGCAGUGGUGUUAAACUCACUUGACUGGGCCUUUAGCAUAUAGCAGCUCUCCUAACUGGCUGGUGGACGAGACUUCAACUCUCCUAACUGGCUGGUGGACGAGACUUCAACUCUCCUAACUGGCUGGUGGACGAGACUUCAACUCUCCUAACUGGCUGGUGGACGAGACUUCAACUCUCCUAACUGGCUGGUGGACGAGACUAAUUUUCUAGCCCCAUGGAGAGAGUUCAGCCAAGUGCACUAUGGAGUUAAAGCGUAGCAUAUAUAUAUAUAUAUAUAUAUAUAUCAGUGAGUAUAUCAAAGCAGUAAACAUCACUGGAAUAUAACAUUACUAUUAUAAUAGUAUAGUAGUGUAUUCAUUUCCAAUGCUUAUAAAGUCCCACAAAUGUGUAGUUAUUGCAUUUGUUUCUGUCCUUGGAUUUGGUCAUUUCUUUAGCUCCAGUAGUAGUAAGGUGGUACUAUCUGGAGAUGUGUGGCUUCUCAGCCAGGACCAAAGUUUUUUAAUUUUUUUAUUGGCACACUAGCCUUAAUUUGUUUGAAUAUUUUGAUGACAUUACUAUAUUUAUUAAUCCUUUGCUACAGAUUGCACAUUGAUAAACCUAAUGAAAUUAACCUUUCCUUUCAGAAGUUUCGGGAUUCUUUUUUUGCCUUGCAUUCAAAUCAAUCAAAGUGCACAUGAUAAAAUGCAGUCCUGUGGUGUUCCACAUGCUUGUUUUGGUGGAUUAUUAUGUCUGCUUGUCUUGGUGGAUUAUUAUGUCUGCUUGUUUUGGUGGAUUAUCAUGUCUGCUUGUUUUGGUGGAUUAUUAUGUCUGCUUGUCUUGGUGGAUUAUUAUGUCUGCUUGUCUUGGUGGAUUAUUAUGUCUGCUUGUCUUGGUGGAUUAUUAUGUCUGCUUGUCUUGGUGGAUUA